rnacentral:lncRNA from 1 species
CGACAUCGACCGAUUAACCAUCGCGGCUAACUCGGGUCAUCGAUCUUCACUUGCAACGCUGAGUCGCCGACUGUCGUCGCUCUCCACUGUAGCUCUCUAUUCUCUCUCUCCAGUCUCCACACAAUCGUCGGUCGUCGCUCUCCACGCAAUCUUCGGCCGUCGCUCUCCAGUCCAUCGGCUCUCGCUCUCCAGUCCAUCGGCUCUCAACGCUGUCAGCAACUUGGUUGUCCUCAAUUCUCUGUCUUCCUCAGUUCUCAGUCUUUCUCAGUUCUCAGUCCUCGCCUCCUCGGUCCUCAUCAGCAACUGUAAAAGGUAAGUAAAUUUUUUUUACACUAUUCAGAAAAUUGUUGGCUGUUCAUCUUUGUGCUUGGUUGUUUAAUCUUCCUACUGUGGAAAUAGAGAGCAGCAGUACAAAUUUUGUUGCUUACUGGUGUUGUCAUUGCAU